GAGGGAAGUCCUUCUUUUCCAAAAGUCAAAGUGUUCAUUUGUUACUUUUCCCUUCUCUCUAAACAGAAACCCUUUUCCCUAAAUAAUUGUUCUGCCUUCUCUCUAAGAUAUCCAAACACCGUUUAAUUUUUAGUUUGAAGGUGCCUAAACGUUCACAACGACAAGGGCUUCAAUUUGAACCGAACAAUUUCCUGUUCCGACGGGUAAGUCCCCUUUUCCCCUUCUUUUUCACUGUUCUAGAACCUAGGACCUGCAACUUUGCUGGGUUCAUGCGCCUUGUACGUUUUCCUUUCAUUCUCUGUCCAUUCGAGCUUUGAGAGCUAUGUUCUAUCACCAAUUUGGUGAUUUGUAGGUUCUGUAAGUUCAGCGCGGUGUGGGUACGGUCCUAGGGUGUUCUUGACCAGUUUACUAUUAAGCUUUCCAGGUAAGGGGAGCUACUUAUACUUUUAUUUUAUUUGUUGCGAAGUGACUGUUUGAGAAAUCUGAAUUGCUAUAUUUUGGUUCUACACAUCCCGUU
rnacentral:lncRNA from 1 species